UACAGAGGUCCCAAGCGUUGUUCGGAUUCACUGGGCGUAAAGGGUGCGUAGGCGGUCGGGUAAGUCUGAUGUGAAAUCUCACAGCUUAACUGUGAAACUGCAUUGGAUACUAUCCGGCUCGAGGAAUGGAGGGGAGACUGGAAUACUUGGUGUAGCAGUGAAAAUGCGUAGAUAUCAAGUGGAACACCAGUGGCGAAGGCGAGUCUCUGGACAUUUCCUGACGCUGAGGCACGAAAAGCCAGGGGGAGCAAAACGGG
rnacentral:rRNA from 1 species